CCUACGGGUGGCAGCAGUUAGGAAUAUUGGUCAAUGGGCUUACGCCUGAACCAGCCAAGUCGCGUGAGGGAAGACUGCCCUAUGGGUUGUAAACCUCUUUUGUCAGGGAGCAACGCCGGCUACGUGUAGACGGACUGAGAGUACCUGCAGAAAAAGCAUCGGCUAACUCCGUGCCAGCAGCCGCGAUAAUACAGUGGAUGCGAGCGGUAUCCGGAUUUAUUGGGUUCAAAGGGUGCGUAUGGCGAAUGCCAAGUCAGCGGUAAAAUCGCGGGUCUUAACCUCGCUCCGCCGUUGAAACUGGCGGUCUUGAGUGGGCGUGAAGUAUGCGGAAUGCGUGGUGUAGCGGUGAAAUGCAUAGAUAUCACGCAGAACUCCGAUUGCGAAGGCAGCAUACCGGCGCCCAACUGACGCUGAAGCACGAAAGCGUGGGUAUCGAACAGGAGUAGAUACCCUUGUAGUC
rnacentral:rRNA from 1 species